rnacentral:rRNA from 1 species
GGUUUAGCGGCGGACGGGUGAGUAACGCGUGGGAAUAUGCCCUUUGGUACGGAACGGUCCCGGGAAACUGGGUUUAAUACCGUAUGUGGUCCUUCGUAGUGGAUACGGGGGACGAAAGAUUUAUCGCCAAAGGAUUAGCCCGCGUUGGAUUAGGUAGUUGGUGGGGUAAUGGCCUACCAAGCCGACGAUCCAUAGCUGGUUUGAGAGGAUGAUCAGCCACACUGGGACUGAGACACGGCCCAGACUCCUACGGGAGGCAGCAGUGGGGAAUCUUAGACAAUGGGGGCAACCCUGAUCUAGCCAUGCCGCGUGAGUGAUGAAGGCCUUAGGGUUGUAAAGCUCUUUCAGCUGGGAAGAUAAUGACGGUACCAGCAGAAGAAGCCCCGGCUAACUCCGUGCCAGCAGCCGCGGUAAUACGGAGGGGGCUAGCGUUGUUCGGAAUUACUGGGCGUAAAGCGCAUGUAGGCGGACCAGAAAGUUGGGGGCGAAAUCCCGGGGCUCAACCCCGGAACGGCCUUCAAAACUAUUGGUCUGGAGUUCGAGAGAGGUGAGUGGAAUUCCGAGUGUAGAGGUGAAAUUCGUAGAUAUUCGGAGGAACAC